GGGGAUUUAGCUCAGCAGUAGAGCGCUUGCCUAGCAAGCGCAAGGCCCUGGGUUCGGUUCCCAGCUCCG
rnacentral:tRNA from 1 species